GACCACCGAAGUCAAGCAUCAUUGGGCGCGGUCAGUACUUGGGUGGGUGACCACCUGGGAACACUGCGUGCCGUU